rnacentral:rRNA from 1 species
CCCAUUGCGCAUGCAUACUCCGCAGUCGAGCGGUAGGCCCUUCGGGGUACACGAGCGGCGAACGGGUGAGUAACACGUGAGCAACCUGCCCCUGACUCCGGGAUAAGCGGUGGAAACGCCGUCUAAUACCGGAUACGACCGGCCGCCUCAUGGUGGCCGGUGGAAAGUUUUUCGGUUGGGGAUGGGCUCGCGGCCUAUCAGCUUGUUGGUGGGGUAAAGGCCUACCAAGGCGAUUACGGGUAGCCGGCCUGAGAGGGCGACCGGCCACACUGGGACUGAGACACGGCCCAGACUCCUGCGGGAGGCAGCAGUGGGGAAUAUUGCGCAAUGGGCGAAAGCCUGACGCAGCGACGCCGCGUGGGGGAUGACGGCCUUCGGGUUGUAAACCUCUUUUACCACCAACGCAGGCUCCCAGUUCUCUGGGGGUUGACGGUAGGUGGGGAAUAAGGACCGGCUAACUACGUGCCAGCAGCCGCGGUAAUACGUAGGGUCCGAGCGUUGUCCGGAAUUAUUGGGCGUAAAGAGCUCGUAGGCGGCGUGUCGCGUCUGCUGUGAAAGACCGGGGCUUAACUCCGGUUCUGCAGUGGAUACGGGCAUGCUAGAGGUAGGUAGGGGAGACUGGAAUUCCUGGUGUAGCGGUGAAAUGCGCAGAUAUCAGGAGGAACACCGGUGGCGAAGGCGGGUCUCUGGGCCUUACCUGACGCUGAGGAGCGAAAGCAUGGGGAGCGAACAGGAUUAGAUACCCUGGUAGUCCAUGCCGUAAACGUUGGGCGCUAGGUGUGGGGACUUUCCACGGUUUCCGCGCCGUAGCUAACGCAUUAAGCGCCCCGCCUGGGGAGUACGGCCGCAAGGCUAAAACUCAAAGGAAUUGACGGGGGCCCGCACAAGCGGCGGAGCAUGUUGCUUAAUUCGACGCAACGCGAAGAACCUUACCAAGGUUUGACAUCACCCGUGGACCUGCAGAGAUGUGGGGUCAUUUAGUUGGUGGGUGACAGGUGGU